GACGAACGCUGGCGGCGUGCUUAACACAUGCAAGUCGAACGGAAAGGCCCUGCUUUUGUGGGGUGCUCGAGUGGCGAACGGGUGAGUAACACGUGAGUAACCUGCCCUUGACUUUGGGAUAACUUCAGGAAACUGGGGCUAAUACCGGAUAGGAGCUCCUGCUGCAUGGUGGGGGUUGGAAAGUUUCGGCGGUUGGGGAUGGACUCGCGGCUUAUCAGCUUGUUGGUGGGGUAGUGGCUUACCAAGGCUUUGACGGGUAGCCGGCCUGAGAGGGUGACCGGCCACAGUGGGAGUGGGAAGGGGCCCAGACUCCACCGGGCGGAAGGGGGGGGGAAUUGUGCAAAAAGGGCGGAGGGAGGAUGGAGGAACGCCGGGUGGGGGAGGACGGCCUUCGGGUUGGAAACCGUUUUCGCGUGUGACGAAGCGUGAGUGACGGUAAUGGGGAAAGAAGCACCGGCAAACUCCGG
rnacentral:rRNA from 1 species